CUCUGAACCCAGCAUUCUGCCUGGAGAAGCCCAAGCUUUAAUCAACUGUUUAUAGCAGUGAGAGUGGAAUUCUUAUGGAAAGGAAGUACUACAGAGUGUGCCAAAGUUCUGUUUCCCCUUUGACGUUGAAAGGGCAUCUCAAAAUCAAGUUGGACAGCACUU